GCCGGCGUAGCUCAGUGGUAGAGCAGCUCACUUGUAAUGAGCAGGUCGUCCGUUCGAAUCGGAUCGCCGGCUCCA
rnacentral:tRNA from 3 species